UUUAAUAUUAGCCUAUUAGGCAAAAAUAUGAUAGAUUUGGUUUUAUUUGUACUGUCCUGAUUAUUUUUCCCCCAUCUCUUCAAGGUAUAAUUUACAUACACUGGAAGUGACCGUUGUUAGUGUGCAUUUCUGCUAGUUCUAAAAAUGCAGU